UAAAGCAAGGGUCAGUACACUCACAAAAACCCUGUCGUUGGGGCCAGCAAGAUGUCUUGGUGGUCGGGGGUGGAGGUGGAACACUUUAAUCCCAGCACUCGGGAGGCAGAAGCAGGCAGAUCUCUGGGAGUUCAAGGCUUCAGGCCAGCCUGGUUUACUGAGUGAUUUCCAGAAUAGCCAGGGCAACAGAGAGAAACUCUGUCUCAGAAAAAAAAAAAAAAGGUCUUAGUGGCUAAAGUUACUUGUUGCCACCAUGCCUGAUAAUCUUGAGUUCAACCCUUAGGACCUAAUGGUAAAAGGAGAGAACAGACUCCUUCAGGUUGUCCCUUGGCCUCUACAUGUGUACCCUUCUCUCUACAACAAAAUAAAUAGCAUAAAAACAUAUUAAAAAAAAAAAAAA
rnacentral:lncRNA from 1 species